UUUUGAUCCCAUAUGUAGUAGUAAAUGUAUUAGAUCCCAUUAGAACUCCACAGUUAAGCACGCUUAGGAUAGAGUAGUAUUGGGAUGGGAGACCUCUCGAUAAUUCCUAGUGUUUUACAUG
rnacentral:rRNA from 1 species